CUUCUGCCAUUCUAAGGGGUACACUACGCAGUCACGUGGUUGGUAUUUGCCCUGUCAAGGCAAUCAUUCUAACUCUGCUGACUAUGUGCACUUUGCGACCGUUUCGAUGUGAAGAUAUGUUUUAUUUUAACAACGCGAAUACAGACAAACUGACAGAAACUUAUGGACCAGCCUUUUAUUUGGAGUAUUUGUCAUUGUCGCCGGAGUAUUUUCAAGUUGCAGAAGCACCAAAUGGAAAAAUUAUGGGCUACAGUAAGUCGUGUUCAUUUGCGUGCAGACAAAAACACACAAACAGAC